AGCGAAUCCAAGGGACCCAGGCAACACUGAACUGGCAAAGGGCAGAGCUGAGCUGGGCUGUGGGACUCAUUCCUCCGUCUCUGAGCACAGCAGUGCUCACACCGCCCCGUCUCCAGGCCAGGGCUCAGCUUUACAACCACCUUCUCGGGGCCAAGGAUGGGGAGAGUAAGGGCCCCGUCCUCAUCACCUCCAGGCUGGAGCACAACCAGCAAGCUGGGCACACGGAGAGACUCACCAGAUGGAAGAUGGUUGCAGGGGGCACAGAAAUCCCUCUGCCUUGGCUGUGUCCAGUGACAGAAGGUUACCUAUGUGGUCACUGAUGCCGGAGCUGUGAGGAGGUGUGCAGCACAACACUGUACAGAGAAAAUCAUCAUGAAUAUCCUUAAAAGCACCGAUAUUAAUAAAAUGUAGCAACAAUAUGUAAGAAGUGAUGAGUAUUUAUUCAGUAUUUAUUGCUUUUAUUUUUAAUAUAAAUUAUUUACUUUUUAAUAAUGGCUAUGUUCAACCACAGGUUUACAAAAUUCCUGAAAAUUUGGCAGUAGGCUCUCAUGGGCCAGUACAAGCUGGUUCUGAUAUACCAAUGAUUGUACUGAACAUUUAAGGAAAAAAUAACAUCAAUUUUAUAAAAAUGGUUGUAGAAAAUAGAAGAGGAGGGAACAUUUCCAAAGUUAGUUUAGGAAGCCAGCAUUACUUGGAUUCCAAAACCAGACAAAGACAUUAUAAGGGAAAAAAAAAAAAAGCCCAAACUAUAAA